CAAGAAAUUAAGGGUUUAUGGGGAAUACCUUGGCAUUCAGAAGCGAAGAAGGACGUGGUUACCGACGAAACGCUUCGGGGAGCUGGAAACAAGCUACGAUCCGGAGGUGUCCGAAUAAGGCAACUUAAUUACUACUUAUUGAAUAUAUAGAUAAGUAAGAGCGAACCUAGAGAACUGAAACAUCUUAUGUAACUAGAGGAAAAGAAAGUAAAAACGAUUUCCUUAGUAGCGGCGAGCGAACCGGAAACAGCCUAAACUUAUUUUUAAGGGUAGUGGGACAGUCAUAACGAGAUUAGUGACGAUUAGAAGAAUGAAUUGGAAAAUUCAACCAUAGAGAGUGAUAGUCUCGUAUUCGAAAAUUGAAACACUCAGAUUGUAUCCCGAGUAGCAUGGAGCACGUGAAAUUCCGUGUGAAUCUGCGAGGACCACCUCGUAAGGCUAAAUAUUCCUGAAUGACCGAUAGUGAAAUAGUACCGUGAGGGAAAGGUGAAAAGCACCCCGACGAGGGGAGUGAAAUAGACCUGAAACCGGACACCUACAAACAGAUGGAGCCCAAGAUACGUUCUGGGUGACAUCGUACCUUUUGUAUUAUGGGCCAGCGACUUAAUUUAACGAGCAAGCUUAAGCCGAUAGGCGAAGGCGCAGCGAAAGCGAGUCUGAAUAGGGCGAAUAAGUACGUCGCAUGACGACCCGAAACCAGGUGAUCUAUCCAUGAGCAGGUUGAAGGUAAGGUAACACUUACUGGAGGACCGAACCCGUGAAUGUUGAAAAAUUCUGGGAUGACUUGUGGAUAGGGGUGAAAGGCCAAUCAAACCUGGACAUAGCUGGUUCUCCGCGAAAACUAUUUAGGUAGUGCGUCGGACGAAUUCCUUGGGGGGUAGAGCACUGGAUGGAUGCGGGGGUCGCGAGAUCUACCAAUUCUAACCAAACUCCGAAUACCCAAGAGAACUAUCCGGCAGACACACGGCGGGUGCUAACGUCCGUCGUGGAGAGGGAAACAACCCGGACCUACAGCUAAGGCCCCUAAUUCGUGGCUAAGUGGGAAAGGAUGUGGAAAUCCCAAAACAACCAGGAGGUUGGCUUAGAAGCAGCCAUCCUUUAAAGAUAGCGUAACAGCUCACUGGUCAAGCGAUCCUGCGCGGAAAAUGUAACGGGGCUAAAGCCAUUCACCGAAGGUAUGGGUGUGCGCAAGCACGCGGUAGCGGAGCGUUCCGUAAGCCUGUGAAGGUCAGCUGCGAGGCUGGCUGGAGGUAUCGGAAGUGAGAAUGCUGACAUGAGUAGCGACAAAGAGUGUGAGAGACACUCUCGCCGAAAGUCCAAGGGUUCCUGCGUAAAGUUAAUCUUCGCAGGGUUAGCCGACCCCUAAGGCGAGGCCGAAAGGCGUAGUCGAUGGGAAUCAGGUGAAUAUUCCUGAGCCAGUUGGAAGUGACGAAUGCCGUAAAUUGUGAGGGCUUAUUGGAUUGUUCCUUGCAGUGAAGGGGUUCCUGGAAAUAACUCCAACGGAGACCGUACCCGAAACCGACACAGGUGGACUGGUAGAGUAUACCAAGGCGCUUGAGAGAACUAUGUUGAAGGAACUCGGCAAUUUACCUCCGUAACUUCGGGAUAAGGAGGCCCAUUGCAUGCGCAAGCAUGCAGUGGGGGCACAGACCAGGGGGUGGCAACUGUUUAACAAAAACACAGGGCUCUGCGAAAUCGCAAGAUGACGUAUAGGGUCUGACGCCUGCCCGGUGCCGGAAGGUUAAAAGGAGGGGUGCAAGCUCCGAAUUGAAGCCCCGGUAAACGGCGGCCGUAACAAUAACGGUCCUAAGGUAGCGAAAUUCCUUGUCGGGUAAGUUCCGACCUGCACGAAUGGAGUAAUGAUGGCCACACUGUCUCCUCCCGAGACUCAGCGAAGUUGAAAUGUUUGUGAUGAUGCAAUCUACCCGCGGCUAGACGGAAAGACCCCAUGAACCUUUACUGUAGCUUUGCAUUGGACUUUGAACCAAUCUGUGUAGGAUAGGUGGGAGGCUUUGAAGCGGGGACGCCAGUUCUCGUGGAGCCAUCCUUGAAAUACCACCCUGGUUUGUUUGAGGUUCUAACCUUGGCCCAUUAUCUGGGUCGGGGACAGUGCAUGGUAGGCAGUUUGACUGGGGCGGUCUCCUCCCAAAGUGUAACGGAGGAGUUCGAAGGUACGCUAGUUACGGUCGGACAUCGUGACGAUAGUGCAAUGGCAUAAGCGUGCUUAACUGCGAGACUGACAAGUCGAGCAGGUACGAAAGUAGGACAUAGUGAUCCGGUGGUUCUGUAUGGAAGGGCCAUCGCUCAACGGAUAAAAGGUACUCCGGGGAUAACAGGCUGAUACCGCCCAAGAGUUCAUAUCGACGGCGGUGUUUGGCACCUCGAUGUCGGCUCAUCACAUCCUGGGGCUGGAGCAGGUCCCAAGGGUUCGGCUGUUCGCCGAUUAAAGUGGUACGUGAGCUGGGUUCAGAACGUCGUGAGACAGUUCGGUCCAUAUCCGGUGUAGGCGUUAGAAUAUUGAGAGGAGCCUUCUUUAGUACGAGAGGACCGAGAAGGACAUACCGCUGGUGUACCAGUUAUCGUGCCAACGGUAAACGCUGGGUAGCUAUGUAUGGAGUGGAUAACCGCUGAAAGCAUCUAAGUGGGAAGCCCACCUCAAGAUGAGUAUUCUCAUCACAAAAGUGAGUAAGGUCACGGUAAGACUAACCGUU
rnacentral:rRNA from 1 species